rnacentral:rRNA from 1 species
UACAGGGGGUGCAAGCGUUACUCGGAUUUAUUGGGCGUAAAGAGCGUGUAGGCGGUUUGUUAAGUCUGGUGUGAAAGCCCUGGGCUCAAUCCAGGAAGUGCAUUGGAUACUGACAGACUAGAGUGCAGGAGAGGUGAGCGGAAUUCCCGGUGUAGAGGUGAAAUUCGUAGAUAUCGGGAGGAACAACAGUGGCGAAGGCGGCUCACUGGACUGUUACUGACGCUAAGGCGCGAAAGCGUGGGGAGCAAACAGG